AUUUUAGGGGGAGGGUUUCUCUCACUUUGCUUGGGCACGGAGCAGUUGCAGAAGAGGGGUUUAUGGUGGGCUUCCCUGGGGGUACCUCAUGGAAUGAUACUGAGACCAUCUCAUAGGAUCUGGGAGAACAGCUGGAUGCGUUUGGACAUGGAGCAUUGCUUAAAGGAGGUGCCGAGGGAGAAACCUUUGUGUCUGGAAGCAGCAUCGGAGCAAGGCCAAAUACGAGUGGCAAAACAACGUUGGCAUGGAACUGCUGCAGGAGAGGAGUUUCUGGUGGGCUCCCAGUGGCAUCUGAUGGAGUGACGGUGAGAGCAUCUCAUAGGGUCUGGGGGAGCACCUGGAUGCACUUAGACUUGGAGUACUGCUUAAAAGAGGUGGUGAUGGACAAAGCUUUUUGCCAGGAAGCAGCACCUGAACAGCUGAGCUAGUGUGGAUUUGCAGGGGUGAUCUUUGUCCUUUUCCCUUUUGAUUUCAUCGUGGCAGUCCCUCCCCGGUGCCCUCAAUCUGUCAAAUGAAUUCCAAGAAAAAAAGGCUGAGCAAACAGUGAAAAGAAGGGGUAUAGGUAAGGUGGAGUUCAGGUGUACCCCACCCCAAACCCUAAACAGCAGCCCUAACAGUGCUCCCGUUUCCUUGAGACAGCUGCAGGCAGGAACCCUAAAGCAGCAGAGUGCCAGAACCCACGAGAGGUGCAGGCAGUUCCCUGGUGCUAGGGCCAGCCAGGAAGAGAUAGUGGGGGGACGAUCCGCAGGGUUGGGGAAACAGGGGGUUUCCCGCCCCACCCCACCCUGGGCUCUCUGUCCCUCCGCAGCCGGGGAUUGCUCCCAGCCCUCCUCGAGGCGGCGGUUGGUAAGGCUUCGUGCCUGGCCUCCGCAAAGAGUUCGGCUCUGUCAGCCUCUGCCCUGUCUCAGGGCCAAACUUAGGUAGGGUAGGGAGCAACUGUGGAUUGCCUGGUCCGGGCUAAGGGACAUCUCUUGGGGCCUAUGGAUAAGGAGCAUCCCCGGUUGCAAGCGUAGGGUUGUAAGUUUGUAGGGUUCAGUGGGGCAGCUUGGCAGUGACACAGAGAGGCUGAGGGAGGGCUUCAGAGGUCAAGGGCUCGAGGGCUGGAGACAAACAGUGAAAAUAAAAGGGGUACAGGUUGGGAUAUAAGGUAGAGUACAGGUCUAUUCAAACCCUAAACAGUAGCCCUAACAGUGCUCCCGUUUCCUUGAGACAGCUGCAGGUAGGAACCCUAAAAGCAGCAGAGUGCCAGAACCCACGAGAGGUGCAGGCAGUACCCCUGGUGCUAGGGCCAGCCAGGAAGAGAUAGUGGGGGGACGAUCCGCAGGGUUGGGGAAACAGGGGGUUUCCCGCCCCGCCCCACCCUGGGCUCUCUGUCCCUCCGCAGCCGGGGAUUGCUCCCACCCCUCCUCGAGGCGGCGGUUGGUAAGGCUUCGUGCCUGGCCUCCGCAAAGAGUUCGGCUCUGUCAGCCUCUGCCCUGUCUCAGGGCCAAACUUAGGUAGGGUAGGGAGCAACUGUGGAUUGCCUGGUCCGGGCUAAGGGACAUCUCUUGGGGCCUAUGGAUAAGGAGCAUCCCCGGUUGCAAGCGUAGGGUUGUAAGUUUGUAGGGUUCAG